AUUGAACGCUAGCGGGAUGCCUUACACAUGCAAGUCGAACGGAGUGGAGGACGGGUGAGUAAUAUAUCGGAACGUGCCUAGUAGCGGGGGAUAACUACUCGAAAGAGUGGCUAAUACCGAAUACGACUGGAGCGGCAGAUAGCGGAUUAGCUAGUUGGUGGGGUAAAGCCUCACCAAGGCAACGAUCCGUAGCUGGUUUGAGAGGACGACCAGCCACACUGGGACUGAGACACGGCCCAGACUCCUACGGGAGGCAGCAGUGGGGAAUUUUAGCCAAUGGGGGAAAGCCUGAUCCAGCCAUCCCGCGUGUAUGAUGAAGGCCUUCGGGUUGUAAAGUACUGUUGGCAGAGAAGCGGUAUCUGCAGAAUAAGCACCGGCUAACUACGUGCCAGCAGCCGCGGUAAUAC
rnacentral:rRNA from 1 species